CCUACGGGGGGCUGCAGUGGGGAAUAUUGCACAAUGGAGGGAACUCUGAUGCAGCAACGCCGCGUGAGUGAAGAAGGUUUUCGGAUCGUAAAACUCUGUCAUUGGGGAAGAAUAAAUGACGGUACCCAAUGAGGAAGCCCCGGCUAACUACGUGCCAGCAGCCGCGGUAAUACGUAGGGGGCGAGCGUUGUCCGGAAUUACUGGGCGUAAAGGGUACGUAGGCGGCUAUAUAAGUCAGGUGUGAAAUACCAGUGCUUAACACUGGAAUUGCAUUUGAAACUGUGUAGCUUGAGUGCAGGAGAGGAAAGUGGAAUUCCUAGUGUAGCGGUGAAAUGCGUAGAGAUUAGGAGGAACACCAGUGGCGAAGGCGACUUUCUGGACUGUAACUGACGCUGAGGUACGAAAGCGUGGGUAGCGAACAGGAUUAGAUACCCCAGUAGUC
rnacentral:rRNA from 2 species